rnacentral:ncRNA from 2 species
AAGCCUGACUCGGGGCGCCGCCUGCAUUGCAGCCGGCUGAGACGAACCCGUACCACCUGAUCCGGAUCAUGCCGGCGUAGGGAAGUCGUCCGGCUUCCCC